CGCGCGAUACAGGGUGACAGCCCCGUACACAAAAGCGCAUGUGUUGUGAGCUCGAUGAGUAGGGCGGGACACGUGGUAUCCUGUCUGAAUAUGGGGGGACCAUCCUCCAAGGCUAAAUACUCCUGACUGACCGAUAGUGAACCAGUACCGUGAGGGAAAGGCGAAAAGAACCCCGGCGAGGGGAGUGAAAAAGAACCUGAAACCGUGUACGUACAAGCAGUGGGAGCACCCUUCGGGGUGUGACUGCGUACCUUUUGUAUAAUGGGUCAGCGACUUAUAUUCUGUAGCAAGGUUAACCGAAUAGGGGAGCCGGAGGGAAACCGAGUCUUAAUUGGGCGUUAAGUUGCAGGGUAUAGACCCGAAACCCGGUGAUCUAGCCAUGGGCAGGUUGAAGGUUGGGUAACACUAACUGGAGGACCGAACCGACUAAUGUUGAAAAAUUAGCGGAUGACCUGUGGCUGGGGGUGAAAGGCCAAUCAAACCGGGAGAUAGCUGGUUCUCCCCGAAAGCUAUUUAGGUAGCGCCUCGUGAAUUCAUCUCCGGGGGUAGAGCACUGUUUCGGCUAGGGGGCCAUCCCGGCUUACCAACCCGAUGCAAACUGCGAAUACCGGAGAAUGUUAUCACGGGAGACACACGGCGGGUGCUAACGUCCGUCGUGAAGAGGGAAACAACCCAGACCGCCAGCUAAGGUCCCAAAGUCAUGGUUAAGUGGGAAACGAUGUGGGAAGGCCCAGACAGCCAGGAUGUUGGCUUAGAAGCAGCCAUCAUUUAAAGAAAGCGUAAUAGCUCACUGGUCGAGUCGGCCUGCGCGGAAGAUGUAACGGGGCUAAACCAUGCACCGAAGCUGCGGCAGCGACACUGUGUGUUGUUGGGUAGGGGAGCGUUCUGUAAGCCUGUGAAGGUGUGUCGUGAGGCAUGCUGGAGGUAUCAGAAGUGCGAAUGCUGACAUAAGUAACGAUAAAGCGGGUGAAAAGCCCGCUCGCCGGAAGACCAAGGGUUCCUGUCCAACGUUAAUCGGGGCAGGGUGAGUCGACCCCUAAGGCGAGGCCGAAAGGCGUAGUCGAUGGGAAACGGGUUAAUAUUCCCGUACUUGGUGUUACUGCGAAGGGGGGACGGAGAAGGCUAUGUUGGCCGGGCGACGGUUGUCCCGGUUUAAGCGUGUAGGUGUGUGUUCCAGGUAAAUCCGGUUCACUUUAACACUGAGGCGUGACGACGAGGCACUACGGUGCUGAAGCAACAAAUGCCCUGCUUCCAGGAAAAGCCUCUAAGCAUCAGGUAACAUCAAAUCGUACCCCAAACCGACACAGGUGGUCAGGUAGAGAAUACCAAGGCGCUUGAGAGAACUCGGGUGAAGGAACUAGGCAAAAUGGUGCCGUAACUUCGGGAGAAGGCACGCUGACACGUAGGUGAAGUGAUUUACUCAUGGAGCUGAAGUCAGUCGAAGAUACCAGCUGGCUGCAACUGUUUAUUAAAAACACAGCACUGUGCAAACACGAAAGUGGACGUAUACGGUGUGACGCCUGCCCGGUGCCGGAAGGUUAAUUGAUGGGGUCAGCGCAAGCGAAGCUCCUGAUCGAAGCCCCGGUAAACGGCGGCCGUAACUAUAACGGUCCUAAGGUAGCGAAAUUCCUUGUCGGGUAAGUUCCGACCUGCACGAAUGGCGUAAUGAUGGCCAGGCUGUCUCCACCCGAGACUCAGUGAAAUUGAACUCGCUGUGAAGAUGCAGUGUACCCGCGGCAAGACGGAAAGACCCCGUGAACCUUUACUAUAGCUUGACACUGAACAUUGAGCCUUGAUGUGUAGGAUAGGUGGGAGGCUUUGAAGCGUGGACGCCAGUCUGCGUGGAGCCGACCUUGAAAUACCACCCUUUAAUGUUU
rnacentral:rRNA from 1 species